rnacentral:rRNA from 1 species
UACGAAGGGGGCUAGCGUUGCUCGGAAUUACUGGGCGUAAAGGGCGCGUAGGCGGACAGUUAAGUCAGUGGUGAAAGCCCAGAGCUCAACUCUGGAAUUGCCUUUGAUACUGAUUGUCUUGAGUAUGGGAGAGGUGUGCGGAACUCCGAGUGUAGAGGUGAAAUUCGUAGAUAUUCGGAAGAACACCAGUGGCGAAGGCGGCACACUGGCCCAUUACUGACGCUGAGGCUCGAAAGCGUGGGGAGCAAACAGG